rnacentral:rRNA from 1 species
UACUGCUAGUGGCGAACGGGUGAGUAACGCGUGGGUAAUCUGCCUUAAAGACUGGGAUAACUCCUCGAAAGAGGUGCUAAUACCAGAUAGUCUAUAUUAAUCUUAUGUUUUUUAUAGUAAAGGGUAGCCGCAAGGCCUCUGCUUUAAGAUGAGCUCGCGUCCUAUUAGCUAGUUGGUGGGGUAAUGGCCUACCAAGGCAAUGAUGGGUAACCGGUCUGAGAGGAUGGUCGGUCACACUGGGACUGAGAUACGGCCCAGACUCC